CUCCCCCCCCCCCGCCGAAUUCCCAACUCUAAGGCGUAGGCUUUCCCACUUCUCCCCCAGUUUCCUCCCAUCACCCGCCCCUGGAGGUGGGGGAAGGAGCCGGGGCGGAGCAAACAAGUUCUCAAGAGAACUGACGACUCUGUCCGUGUGUCGGAUUGGACAGUGAAUCUCCGUGGAGGCCCUGGCCCUGCAGCGUGACGCCUGACACUGAACAAUGGGAGACCCAGGAAAAACCCUGACAGCAUAGCCUCACCUCGUCAGGCUGCAACUGUGCCCAAAGCCACCCCAGCAGCACCCUGUUCCUCUUCCUUCUCCACCCAGGCCAAGACAACACCCACAGCCAGCCGACCGAAGAGUGCUCAGGCUGCUGGGAGUUCAGGCACCAGCAGGGCACAGACAGACAAGCCAACCAGCAGCACCACUGCAAGAAGAGCUGGGCAAAGCCCUUCCCAAUCAAGGGCCACUGCAGCACAUGGCAGUGAUCGAGGAGACACCAAGAUAAGCUACGAGGUGUCAGCUAAGAACCCCUCAGUGACUAGUGGAAGGAAACCCUGCUCCACAACAGCUAAAGCACCUGUCGUGUCGACCCCUGCCUGAAAGGA